rnacentral:rRNA from 1 species
GACGAACGCUGGCGGCGUGCCUAAUACAUGCAAGUUGAGCGCUGAAGGUUGGUACUUGUACCAACUGGAUGAGCAGCGAACGGGUGAGUAACGCGUGGGGAAUCUGCCUUUGAGCGGGAGACAACAUUUGGAAACGAAUGCUAAUACCGCAUAAAAACUUUAAACACAAGUUUUAAGUUUGAAAGAUGCAAUUGCAUCACUCAAAGAUGAUCCCGCGUUGUAUUAGCUAGUUGGUGAGGUAAAGGCUCACCAAGGCGAUGAUACAUAGCCGACCUGAGAGGGUGAUCGGCCACAUUGGGACUGAGACACGGCCCAAACUCCUACGGGAGGCAGCAGUAGGGAAUCUUCGGCAAUGGACGAAAGUCUGACCGAGCAACGCCGCGUGAGUGAAGAAGGUUUUCGGAUCGUAAAACUCUGUUGGUAGAGAAGAACGUUGGGGAGAGUGGAAAGCUCAUCAAGUGACGGUAACUACCCAGAAAGGGACGGCUAACUACG